CUAGGCUUACUGAGCGGGUUCCAGAGCAAUGGCUUUUAACUCGUGCAGGCGGGUAAGUAUUCAACAAGUAGCUGUAUCUUCACACUGGGCUUUACAGGGCGUAUUCAAGGUCAGUAGCUUUUAGCUCGUACAAACAGGUGAGUAUUCAACAAGUAACUGUAUCUUCACGCUGGGCUUACAGGGCGUAUUCAAGGGCAAUAGCUUUUAGCUCGUACAGAGAGGUAAGUAUUCAACAAGUGACUGACUCUUCACGCUGGGCUUACAGGGCGUAUUCAAGGGCAAUAGCUUUUAGCUCGUACAGACAGGUAAGUAUUCAACAAGUGGCUGUAUCUUCACGCUGGGCUUACAGAGCGUAUUCAAGGGCAAUAGCUUUCCCCACAAUAUCCGCACAAUACCUUGUUUUGCUUUCACACUUCACCUUCGAGCUGGGUCCGGAGAACGGAGUUAUAGGCGGGCGUAGGUGGGAUAGGUGGGCACCGCCACGGCAGCCUACGUUCUUUCCAACAGGAACUUUUCUCGGCCUGGAGGGCAAGUACAGACAACAGGGACACGGCACAGCACUGCAAAGCUUUAGUGCACACACGUCAAAGACAGACUCACCCACUGCACUACACACACUUCAGUGAUUUUUAAGGUCGGUACUCCACACCCGGUCGGAUUUCGUCCUGGAGGAAUUUGCAGUCGCUGUCACGGUAAGUGCUCCAAACUUUACGGUGUGGCCACAGCCAAAUAACAUCCAUUCACCCACGCUCUACUUC
ensembl:lncRNA